GGCCACCUGGUGCUUAUGACAGGAUAUGUUCUUUACACUAUUCUUUAUAGAAAGAAGAGGGCCAGCAAACUUACUCCAUAUAUAUACCUCAGUCAAGGACCUUGCCUGGGCUGUGUAGUGAAUGAAGACUACAUAG